rnacentral:rRNA from 1 species
UACAGAGGGUGCGAGCGUUGUCCGGAAUUACUGGGCGUAAAGGGCGCGUAGGCGGCCCGAUAAGUCGGGGGUGAAAUUCAGCGGCUCAACCGCUGGACUGCCUUCGAGACUGUCAGGCUCGAGCACGGUAGAGGCUGGUGGAAUUCCCGGUGUAGCGGUGGAAUGCGUAGAGAUCGGGAAGAACAUCGGUGGCGAAGGCGGCCAGCUGGGCCGUUGCUGACGCUGAGGCGCGACAGCGUGGGGAGCAAACAGGAUUAGAAACCCCGGUAGUCC